UUUUCCACCGGAGCUUGCUCCACCGGAAAAAGAAGAGUGGCGAACGGGUGAGUAACACGUGGGUAACCUGCCCAUCAGAAGGGGAUAACACUUGGAAACAGGUGCUAAUACCGUAUAACAAUCGAAACCGCAUGGUUUUGAUUUGAAAGGCGCUUUCGGGUGUCGCUGAUGGAUGGACCCGCGGUGCAUUAGCUAGUUGGUGAGGUAACGGCUCACCAAGGCCACGAUGCAUAGCCGACCUGAGAGGGUGAUCGGCCACAUUGGGACUGAGACACGGCCCAAACUCCUACGGGAGGCAGCAGUAGGGAAUCUUCGGCAAUGGACGAAAGUCUGACCGAGCAACGCCGCGUGAGUGAAGAAGGUUUUCGGAUCGUAAAACUCUGUUGUUAGAGAAGAACAAGGAUGAGAGUAACUGUUCAUCCCUUGACGGUAUCUAACCAGAAAGCCACGGCUAACUACGUGCCAGCAGCCGCGGUAAUACGUAGGUGGCAAGCGUUGUCCGGAUUUAUUGGGCGUAAAGCGAGCGCAGGCGGUUUCUUAAGUCUGAUGUGAAAGCCCCCGGCUCAACCGGGGAGGGUCAUUGGAAACUGGGAGACUUGAGUGCAGAAGAGGAGAGUGGAAUUCCAUGUGUAGCGGUGAAAUGCGUAGAUAUAUGGAGGAACACCAGUGGCGAAGGCGGCUCUCUGGUCUGUAACUGACGCUGAGGCUCGAAAGCGUGGGGAGCAAACAGGAUUAGAUACCCUGGUAGUCCACGCCGUAAACGAUGAGUGCUAAGUGUUGGAGGGUUUCCGCCCUUCAGUGCUGCAGCUAACGCAUUAAGCACUCCGCCUGGGGAGUACGACCGCAAGGUUGAAACUCAAAGGAAUUGACGGGGGCCCGCACAAGCGGUGGAGCAUGUGGUUUAAUUCGAAGCAACGCGAAGAACCUUACCAGGUCUUGACAUCCUUUUGACCACUCUAGAGAUAGAGCUUCCCCUUCGGGGGCAAAGUGACAGGUGG
rnacentral:rRNA from 1 species